CAUUCAAGUUUCUGACCUAUCAGCUUUCGACGGUAGUGUAUUGGACUACCGUGGCAGUGACGGGUAACGGGGAAUUAGGGUUCGAUGCCGGAGAGGGAGCCUGAGAAACGGCUACCACAUCUAAGGAAGGCAGCAGGCGCGCAAAUUACCCAAUCCUGACUCAGGGAGGUAGUGACAAGAAAUAACAACACUGGAAAUUCUGUUUCUAGUGAUUGGAAU
rnacentral:rRNA from 1 species